rnacentral:rRNA from 1 species
GUUAUAGGGUCAAGUGACUAAGAGCAUAUGGUGGAUGCCUUGGCGAUGAUAGGCGACGAAAGACGUGAUAGCCUGCGAUAAGCUUCGGGGAGCUGGCAAAUAAGCUUUGAUCCGGAGAUUUCUGAAUGGGGGAACCCACCUCGCAAGAGGUAUCGUGCACUGAAUACAUAGGUGCACGAAGCGAACCUGGAGAACUGAAACAUCUAAGUACCCAGAGGAAAAGACAUCAACCGAGAUUCCGAUAGUAGUGGCGAGGGAAUUCGGAAGAGCCUUGCAGUGAUAGUCGAUCAGUUAACAAAACGGCAUGGAAAGGCCGACCAUAGUGGG